CCUACGGGAGGCAGCAGUGAGGAAUUUUGCGCAAUGGGGGAAACCCUGACGCAGCGACGCCGCGUGGAGGAUGACGGCCUUCGGGUUGUAAACUCCUGUCAGAGGUGAAGAAUGCCCGCAAGGGUUUGACGGUAACCUCAGAGGAAGCCCCGGCUAACUACGUGCCAGCAGCCGCGGUAAUACGUAGGGGGCGAGCGUUGCUCGGAAUUACUGGGCGUAAAGGGUGUGUAGGUGGCUGAAUAAGUCCAAGAUGAAAUCCCGAGGCUCAACUUCGGAAUUGUCUUUGAUACUGUUCAGCUUGAGGUUAGUUGAGGAGAGCGGAAUUCCCGGUGGAGCGGUGAAAUGCGUAGAUAUCGGGAGGAACACCUGAGGCGUAGGCGGUUCUCUAAACUAAUCCUGACACUGAGACACGAAAGCUAGGGGAGCAAACGGGAUUAGAUACCCCGGUAGUCCUAGCCGUAAACGAUGGACGCUAGAUGUUCCUGCGUUUAUGCAGGAGUGUCGAAGCUAACGCGUUAAGCGUCCCGCCUGGGGAGUACGGUCGCAAGAUUGAAACUCAAAGGAAUUGACGG
rnacentral:rRNA from 1 species